UGCGCAGGCGGACUAAUAAGUCAGUGGUGAAAUCUCUCGGCUCAACCGAGAAACUGCCAUUGAAACUGUUAGUCUUGAGUACAGUUGUAGUGGGCGGAAUAUAGCAUGUAGCGGUGAAAUGCUUAGAUAUGCUAUAGAACACCGAUCGCGAAGGCAGCUCACUAAGCUGUAACUGACGCUCAGGCACGAAAGCGUGGGGAGCAAACAGGAUUAGAUACCCUGGUAGUC
rnacentral:rRNA from 1 species